UCUCCGUUGGUGAACCAGCGGAGGGAUCAUUACAGAGUUGCAAAACUCCAAAACCAUUGUGAACGUUACCUAUCCCGUUGCUUCGGCGGGAGGCCCGGGCGCCGCCCCCGGCGCAACCCGGCGCCCCGCGGGCGCCCGCCGAAGAUAGACCAAACCCGUGGAUUGCAUUGCCUCGCGGAGUGUACUGUAAUGAAUAAGUUAAAACUUUCAACAACUGAUCUCUUGGUUCUUGCAGAGAGGAAGAACGCGGCAGAUCGGAAGAGCGAACUUCAGAACCCC
rnacentral:misc_RNA from 1 species